GAUGAACGCUGGCGGCGUGCCUAAUACAUGCAAGUCGAGCGAAUGGAUUGAGAGCUUGCUCUUAUGAAGUUAGCGGCGGACGGGUGAGUAACACGUGGGUAACCUGCCCAUAAGACUGGGAUAACUCCGGGAAACCGGGGCUAAUACCGGAUAACAUUUUGAACCGCAUGGUUCGAAAUUGAAAGGCGGCUUCGGCUGUCACUUAUGGAUGGACCCGCGUCGCAUUAGCUAGUUGGUGAGGUAACGGCUCACCAAGGCAACGAUGCGUAGCCGACCUGAGAGGGUGAUCGGCCACACUGGGACAGAGACACGGCCCAGACUCCUGCGGGAGGCAGCAGUAGGGAAUCUUCCGCAAUGGACGAAAGUCUGACGGAGCAACGCCGCGUGAGUGAUGAAGGCUUUCGGGUCGUAAAACUCUGUUGUUAGGGAAGAACAAGUGCUAGUUGAAUAAGCUGGCACCUUGACGGUACCUAACCAGAAAGCCACGGCUAACUACGUGCCAGCCGCCGCCGUAA
rnacentral:rRNA from 1 species